rnacentral:tRNA from 1 species
GCGGAUAUAGUGUAACGGCAGCACGUGAGGUUUCCACCCUUUUAGUCUCGGUUCAAAUCCGUGUAUCCGCUCCA